rnacentral:rRNA from 1 species
AUCCCGAGUAGUGCGGGGCACGUGAAACCCCGUAUGAAUCCGGCAGGACCAUCUGCCAAGGCUAAAUACUUCCUAGCGACCGAUAGUGAAGCAGUACCGUGAGGGAAAGGUGAAAAGCACCCCGGAAGGGGAGUGAAAUAGAACCUGAAACCGUGUGCUUACAAAAAGUCAGAGCCCGUUUUAGGGGUGAUGGCGUGCCUUUUGUAGAAUGAACCGGCGAGUUACGUUCCCGUGCAAGGUUAAGGUGAAGAGCCGGAGCCGCAGCGAAAGCGAGUCUGAAUAGGGCGACAUAGUACGUGGACGUAGACCCGAAACCGGGUGAUCUACCCCUGUCCAGGGUGAAGGUGCGGUAACACGCACUGGAGGCCCGAACCCACGCAU